rnacentral:rRNA from 1 species
AUGUAUUGGUUCUUUCUGAUGUUUUGUUUCUCAGCAAAUUUAGUGAUAUUUUUUAUGAAGAUCAUUUUAUCGGGACACUCAGACAACAUAUCAUUAUGUUCAGCAGUUCCAUCGAAUAUCCAGGCCUUGAGGUGUUUGGUAAACUACGAGGCUCUGCGGUUUGCCGAACCAGUAAGGGUUCUUGCAGACGAUAUGGUUGUUCGAAUGAUCAAAAGGAGUUCUUUGGCUGGUGGGAAAUAUGUCUCGGUGCAUCUCCGUUUCGAAGAGGAUAUGGUGGCUGGAAGGAGAAAAUUGAAAUGGGAAAUGCCCGUGAAAGGAGCUGGAGAGGGAAGUUUCACUGACCUGGUCGAGUUAUCAAUUCCGAGGCAAACAGAAGGGAUGGGAAAUGCCCACUUACUCCUCUAG